rnacentral:rRNA from 1 species
AUUGAACGCUGGCGGCAGGCCUAACACAUGCAAGUCGAGCGGAUGAAGGGAGCUUGCUCCUGGAUCCAGCGGCGGACGGGUGAGUAAUGCCUAGGAAUCUGCCUUGUAGUGGGGGGUAACGUCCGGAAACGGGCGCUAAUACCGCAUACGUCCUGAUGGAGAAAGUGGGGGAUCUUCGGACCUCACGCUAUCAGAUGAGCCUAGGUCGGAUUAGCUAGUUGGUGGGGUAAAGGCCUACCAAGGCGACGAUCCGUAACUGGUCUGAGAGGAUGAUCAGUCACACUGGAACUGAGACACGGUCCAGACUCCUACGGGAGGCAGCAGUGGGGAAUAUUGGACAAUGGGCGAAAGCCUGAUCCAGCAAUGCCGCGUGUGUGAAGAAGGUCUUCGGAUUGUAAAGCACUUUAAGUUGGGAGGAAGGGCAGUAAGUUAAUACCUUGCUGUUUUGACGUUACCAACAGAAUAAGCACCGGCUAACUUCGUG